GCACAUAUCUCAAUUGGUAGAGCAUGAGUUUCUUUAUCUCUGGUUCGUGGGUUCAAGCCCCGUGUUGGGCA